rnacentral:rRNA from 1 species
AUUGAACGCUGGCGGCAUGCCUUACACAUGCAAGUCGAACGGCAGCACGGGAGCAACCCUGGUGGCGAGUGGCGAACGGGUGAGUAAAGUAUCGGAGCGUACCCAAUCGUGGGGGAUAACGCAGCGAAAGCUGCGCUAAUACCGCAUAAGGUCUACGGAUGAAAGCGGGGGAUCGCAAGACCUCGCGCGAGUGGAGCGGGCGAUAUCUGAUUAGGUAGUUGGUGUGGUAAAAGCUCACCAAGCCUACGAUCUGUAACUGGUCUGAGAGGACGACCAGUCACACUGGGACUGAGACACGGCCCAGACUCCUACGGGAGGCAGCAGUGGGGAAUUUUGGACAAUGGGCGCGAGCCUGAUCCAGCAAUGCCGCGUGCAGGAUGAAGGCCUUCGGGUUGUAACUGCUUUUGUACGGAACGAAAAGAGACUGUCUAAUACAUGGUCUACAUGACGGUACCGUAAGAAUAAGCACCGGCUAACUACGUGCCAGCCGCCGCGGUAA